rnacentral:lncRNA from 1 species
GCACAAAAGGGACUAAAACCCAGGCGAAGGUGAAAGGGAACGUUUCAGCUGCCCCGAGCAUCCCGGGAACAGUGGAGCCAGUAGCUGCUGAGGGGCAGCCAGAGCCUGUGGCCACCGUCCUCCCUCGUCCCCUGGCUGGGGACAGCAGCAGCAUGUUUGGAUGGUUUGUCCAGGGGCUGGAGAAGGUGAUGCCACAGCCUGUGAGCAGGGAGAAGCAGGACACGCAGGUACGCAGCCUGCAGAGAGGCAAUGGGGGCGUGGAGGUGAUGUGCAAGGCAGGGGAGGGUCCUGGUGGUGCAGGGGCUGCGGGGACGGGCAGAUGUGCAGGGACCUGCUGGCUGUGCCCACGCUGCAGUUUGGGGUGGGCUCAUGAGCAUGUUUUGCUGCACCAGGCUUGUGCCCUGCCACACAGCUCCGUGGAGAAGAGAAACCCCCACAGCUGCUGAAAAACAGGCUUUGCCCUCUGAGGAGCCAGAAAGCUCCUGGGGUGGGUUUCCUUUAUCCUUUCCUUUGCUCCCUGAGCACCACCCAGCCCAAGCUCCCCGCUGCCACGGGGUGCCAGGCUCCCCAGCUUGCUGGAGCUGGAGGCUGAGCCUCAGAGCCAUGGUGAGGAACAACAGCACCUGUGCCACUGUCCUCUCUGUCUCCGGCACCAAAACGACCUCCAAGGCCUUGCCCUUCCCUCCACAGCUGUGCGGGCAGCCUGGUGCCCCUGGUCCAACCCUGUGGCACAGCACUACCGUGCCUGAGGCCCGCAGAACCCGGCUGUCCCACAGACACUGCAUGGGGCACUGAGGGUAAAAGGGCCACGGUGACCCAGAGCCAGCAACAAUUCUGCUCUCACACCAAAAGCUCCGUGAAGUUUCCUGCAGGGUCAGAUAACCAGAACAGGGAUGCCUGUUUCAUCCCAAAUGCUCCUGCUGAGCGUGGUGCUGGGGAUCCAGUGCUGCUGUGGGUUGGAGGCAAGAGCGGGGGCUGCGGCCAGGGGGAGUCCAGGGGCAGGGGCAGGAGCCCUGCCAGCCAUGCCUCACAUUUCACUUUUCUUCCUGGCAGGGAGCAGCAGCGGCAGCCUUCAGCCCCGUGGAAGAAAGGGGCAAAGGGGCUUAGCGCCUCUGAAACAAACGGAAAACGAAGUCUGUGGAGGGCCAGCCUUUCCCCACCAAAUGAGACCACCUCGCAGAGAAAGCACAGCGGGGGAGGAGAAAAAGCAAAGAGCAAUCUGCAAACGGUCCCUAGCCCCUUGCCAGCCAGGCUGCGGGGUGCGGGAACCCGAGGCCGUGUGUCCCCGCUCCCUGCAGCUGCCGGCAGCAGGACCUGGCCCUGGCCAGCCCUGAGCACCAGGGGAAGGUCAGCAUAGCUGCUGGAUGGGAGCAAUAAUUCAUGUGAGGACAGACAAACGCCUCUCAGGGCAUCUCCGAGGCAGAAAACCUCUCGCUGCAGCCUCCCACAGCACACCCAGCUCCCUCAACUCCCCUCCCACCCCCCAGCACGCCAAUAUUUACCACCGAGAUCUCUGGCUGAAGCCUGCAGACUUCUUUAAAUCUAUUUCUGUCUCAGUGGCAUCACUUUAUAAAGCCCUUUAAGCUUCAUAUUGCUUUUCUCCCAUUAACUGAGUGUUUUCUCCCAGAGGGUGGAGAGGGCUCUGUUUGGCAGCAGCGGAUGCAGGAGAACAACCUCCAGGAACCAGGCAGGAGCCAAAGGCCUCCUGGUGUGGAGGAGGGUGUCAGCUCACCAUGAGCAGCCCCUGCUUGCCCCCAGAGCCCAUCCAGUGCCGCACCAAGCACGGCAGCAGUGUCCCAGCAGGGAACGGUGCCCAAGGGCUGCCUCCAGCUCUGGGCUGGGGGCUUGGGGAAUGCGGGCACGCCGGGCUGGGGAGGGCAGGAGCCCCUAAAUGCCAGGUGUUUGGCACAGACCUUCCCAUUGCAUCCCUAGGUAGCCUUAGUGGUGAGUGGUGAGCCAAGCAACCCCGCUGAGCCCCAGCCCCUGUGUUUAUGACGAGCCCAGCUGGUAUCAGGAUAGGAUCUUAGUAUUUGCCCUGUUUUCAUAUCGUGUAUUAAAAAGUUGCAGCACGUUUCAAAAGCUGUCUCCGUGGUUCCUGUCCUUUGUUACAAUAACUAUAGCUGCAGGGAGAGCAGGCUAAAGGCAGACGAACACUGCUGGGUGAGGAGCUGGUUUGGGAGGCAUGGUGCAGAGCAGACAAUGCAGUGGGCCUCCUGCCUUUCUGUAUUUAAGUCUGUCCAUUUCCUAUUAGCUUCCCUGGGGACGUGUAAGCUCCCCUGAGUUUUGCCAUCAGUCAGACCUCACAUUAAACUGGUUUGGAACUACGUGGAUGCA